GAUGAACGCUGGCGGCGUGCCUAAUACAUGCAAGUCGAGCGAACAGACGAGGAGCUUGCUCCUCUGACGUUAGCGGCGGACGGGUGAGUAACACGUGGAUAACCUACCUAUAAGACUGGGAUAGCUUCGGAAAACCGGAGCUAAUACCGGAUAAUAUAUUGAACCGCAUGGUUCAAUAGUGAAAGACGGUUUUGCUGUCACUUAUAGAUGGAUCCGCGCCGCAUUAGCUAGUUGGUAAGGUAACGGCUUACCAAGGCAACGAUGCGUAGCCGACCUGAGAGGGUGAUCGGCCACACUGGAACUGAGACACGGUCCAGACUCCUACGGGAGGCAGCAGUAGGGAAUCUUCCGCAAUGGGCGAAAGCCUGACGGAGCAACGCCGCGUGAGUGAUGAAGGUCUUCGGAUCGUAAAACUCUGUUAUUAGGGAAGAACAAAUGUGUAAGUAACUAUGCACGUCUUGACGGUACCUAAUCAGAAAGCCACGGCUAACUACGUG
rnacentral:rRNA from 1 species